rnacentral:tRNA from 1 species
GAGGGUAUAGCUCAAGUGGUAGAGCACCGGCUUGGCCUGUAUGAGGUUGUGGGUUCAAUCCCCAGUACCUCCU